UAUCAAUAUUUUAGAAGUUUAGAGAAAGUAAUAGAUUUUGUAAGAAAUAGUAAGGGACUGCCAUGUAGUUCCUUCUGUGAAUCAUUAAAUUAAUUUAUUAGUUUUUUUAAGAUAAAAAGAUGCAUUUAGAAUAGUCAAAACUACAAUAUAUAGUAAAUAGUGAAGAAAUCCUAAGACAAAUAGAAAAUUAAAAUGUUAAUUGUAGAAAUGGAGUCUUAGUAAGUUUUGGAGGCAAUUAUCUUAGUUAGUUUAGUAUUUUUAUUUAUUAUUAAGUAUCUAGGGUUAUUUAUUAAGAUCAAUAUUUACAUUGGUCUUACAUCUAUAUGUAUUACUUAU
rnacentral:lncRNA from 1 species